AGUAUUUCCAGGCCAGGUUGUACAAAGUCCCAAAAGCACUAUCCACAGGAUAUAUAGCGAUUGUUACAAGCUUCCUAAAUAAUCCAUUGAUUGGUAUAAAUCGAUAUCAGAUUAGUAUUUAGUUUGCAUAGAUUGAAAAUGCAAUAAAACGCCUCGUUCUGUGCCUAAAGGCGGAUUUCCAGUCCUCGCACGAAGCUCCUUGCAGCUCGCUGCGAGUGAUGCAUGAGCACUUUCAUCCAAUCACAAUGCUAAACAGC